UAUAUAUAUAUAUAUACAUACACACACACACACACGUACACGUGUGUUCAGUUACAUUUUAUUUAGUCAACCAUCUCAGAAUCUCUGAGCAGUUGAUUCCCAGAUGAAUGAAUAGCAAUGCAUUCACUUUUUUAAAAAAUUGCUUUUUAAGUGAAAAUUUAACACUGUGGUACUGAAUAUGUAACCAGUAUUGUGCACUGUAGUCAGAACUUUUAGCACAAGCAAAAUAACCUUAUUAGUAAAACCAAAACACAGAAUACAAAAUAUUUUAAAUUUUCCAGACUUGUGACGUAUUUGGUAAGUAGGUGCGUACAUGAAAAUAUCUGAUAAUUUGUGGUUAUAGCACUAUAUUCCCCAUAUCAGAUCAAAAUCAAAAUUUGAUGUGUUUGAAGCUUUUUUGAAAGUUCUCAUUUCACAUACUACUAUAGUUGGCCAAAGGUAAUAUCUGAUUUUGAGUUACAUGAUACCCCAGAUGGAAGCACAUUAGGAAGAUUUCCAGUGGCCUUGUCAUCAUACAGUGUGCAAAUCAUUGCUUUGCUUGAGCAUUUUACUUUUGUAUAUGAAUAACUAAUGACUUAAAUUACUCUGAAGAUAAUCUUUUAUAAUGUUUGUGAGCACUGCCCCUCAUAUGGGGUAUAACUCGCACAUUGUAGCCCGCCCUCCUCACCUUUAAGUUUUAGUCUGGCAACUGUGGAUGACUCAUUUGUGCUCAAGUUUGUUAAAUUUAUUUUUUGCAUGUCAGCAUAUUUGUAUUCUUGAGAUCAACCCAAAAUUGUUCUGGUAUUAUCUGGAUGCCCUUCAUGGGAUUUUGCCCCGCUUUGGCUUUCUGUGGUGGAAGUUUGGGAGACUGGAGCUUUCCAGCAUUUGUUACCACAAGAAUUUUUAGUUUUCAAGUUUUUGCUUUAGUUCCCUUUACAGCUACAUUUCACUUGGUUUUACCAGCUUCUCCAUCACUCAUCAGUCUAUUCGAAAACAGUUGCCUUAUUUAGGUGUUCGUUCUGGAUAAGAAGACUUUCCACCAGUUAGUUCAAUAUCAUUAUCAGAUUCUACUUACACCUUAGUUUUUUAAAUCUUCACCGUAAAUUUGAGUGGUUGUUUUGCUUCACUACAGUCAUUAUAUGAAAAGUGUGUCAUAAAAGGAACUCGUUUACCAUGAUUCUUAUCAGAUACACUAAGUAGAUUCACAGGUUUUUCACAUUUGUAUGUUGUGGCAUGAAACUUGUUGAUGGUAGACAUAUGUACUGGCAAUUUGAGCUUCUUAGAAAGUCUUCCGCUCAAGAAAAGCAUUUUCUUCUGGAAACCAAAUCUUUACAAAGUGAAUAAAGAAAAGUCAAUACCUUGUUUGAGAUUGAGAUUCCAAAAACCUAGAGUUAGCAGUUUGUCAGUAAUCCACAACUAUGAAGUCAGGACCCAUCAUGAGAACUCAAUGUGUCGGUCGUGACUUAUGCAUGACUAAUGAUUUUCUCAUAUGCCAAACUAUCCUUCCUCUUACUAAUGAUGUAACGAGUUAAACAAAAUUGAAGAUUUAAGCAGCUGAAAUGUCUUCAAAGGAAGAUCAUUUUGAUAUUGUUUCAAAAAUCAGAUCAGUUUCAUGAGCUUCAGGCUGUUGUAUGUCAGGUUAAAGGUUUUUAACAUGCUUAAAUUAUUUUUUAUUACCAACCAGCAGGUUCUGUAGUUUGGCCGCUCAUGCUGCAAGGUUUAGUUGCCCACUGUUAUGUUGAGUCAAACAAGUAUUCUAAUGCAGAUUUACUGUAACAUUUUGUCAUGACCUUUCUUCAGGUACUCACCACAGAUAGGUCUUCCAUUUCUGCUUUUCUUGUUAAGGAGAACAGGUGGCACCAAGUGCAUCCUUAGCUUCUGUGAGUUAGAUUUUCCAUUUGUGUUAUAGACACCUCACAUAUUAUUAUCAUUAUAUUAACCCUGGCACAAAGCAGCUAUUCUAUCAGUUUUAGACUAUGGAAGCAAAAUAUAUGAGUUAGACACAUUAUGCUGUACAACUCAGAAAUCUUAUCAUGGAAAUGGAGCCCUUCCUCAUUCACCUAUCAGCAUGCAUCUGUGAUCAUUUUUGGGAGGAAAAUAUAACAUGAGCAAGAAGACAGCGCUUGCACAUUUAUUGAAACAUAAUUAAAUAGCGUAAAGCAGUUACACAAAAUCCAACUUCUACUGCAGUAGCAAAGCAAUUAAAAAUAUUGUGCAGAAAUUUAGAUCUGGGCUUAUGACUACGUGAUGGAUUGAAACACUUGAUCAGUUGGUGGAUUAAAGUACAUGACCAACUGGUGAAUUAAAGCACACACAGUCACACCAACUUUGACAUAUUUCAACAAUAAGGAAUGAAAAUAUUGUACUGUAAGAUGUGAACCACUCUAAUAGGAAAUUUUUUCCUGGUUAGGCUGUGCUGUAGUCAGCCUUGUCCAGAUAUAAAGAGAGAAGUCCAUAAUUCCACCAGCUCAUGUAAUGAUGGUGCACUUUUUCUUUUUAAUAUUUUUCCUCAAGUCAUUUCUGCACAUGCUUAUGUAUGUCCUCUACAAAUUGAAUUACUUGAUGUCAGAUUGGAUGACAUCAAGAACUGGAGUAUCUUACUUUGUUGGCUACAGAAGAGCAUUCUCAUAAUGUUCCGUAUCAUCUUCAUAUUCAGUAAUGUCUAAUCAGUUAGAUAAGAGCACCUCACUUAGUGCUCAUAUGCAUUACUAAAAGGUGUUUGCAGUGAACCUUUGGCCCCUAGUCUUACCUGAUUUUAGCCCUUACACCCACCAUUCCCAUUUCCUUUCUUCACUCUAGCUCUCCAACCUCAUUUAACUCUUUCUGCUUUGUGCAACUGUGAGGUUUUCUCCCAGUUUUACCUGUCAUUUCUUUUCUGGAUUUCCUUAUCUUGCUGCUUAGCCUUUCCAUCUUCCAUCAUAGCUUACAUUUCAUGUUUCAUUCAUUCAUUCAUUUAGUGGGUUAGGGAGCUUGCUAACAAGACCAAUUGUACAAGGCAGUUCUGUUUAACUAACAAGCAGAGUCCUCACAUAGCUCCCUAGAUAAAAAUGAAUUAAUUCAGGACUGCUUUUCUUGUUUGGAUGAUGGUACACAAUUAAGCCAUCUACUUGAGAGCACAAUAGUACUAGUACAUCUGGUUAAUCAACAGGAAUAAAUUCAGGGCUCUUUACAAUACAGUGCUAUGGAUCUUUCUUUGGCAGAGUUUGGUGGAAUUCCUCUCAGCCUUUAUGUUGUUCCAAGAUAGCAAAUUGGUAGUGGGGUCCUUUUAGGUAAAGAAACACCUGGGUUUAGUAUGCUCACAAUUUGCUGUUCUGUAUCUGGGGCUCUCCUUAAAUGUGCCUAUGGAAGUUUAAUUUUAUGUGAAGUUUUAGAGCUUUUGUCUCUCUUAAUCUAGCAACCUGGAUAAUGUUACUUUUCUUGUUUAUUUUCUUAAUUUAAAACUGGACAUAGAUAUAGUAGUAUCUAGAAGUAUAGUCAACUAGAAUUAGUUCCACCAAAAGCUGUAUGCUUGUCUAUUAAUCUCCUUUUGGAACUCUGAGGGAUUAAUGUUGCUGUAUCAGCUUUUACUGGAGAACUCAUUCUACAUGUAUUGAGCCACUUGGUUUCUUGUUUUUUAUCAGCUUCCUUCUUUGGACCUUGCUGCUUGAAGCAUCUGGACAACACUUUGGAAUUUUUUUACCAUCCUUUAUUUUCUUACUUCAAGAUGCAUUAUGGAAAGUGAUGGACACGCAGUAGUGUUUUCAAAGUACAGUACAGUAAUAUGGCUGUUGACUAGAAAUUAAUGGAUAUGCAUCCAGCUAAGGAUAUGGGAAAAUUAUUUCAUUCUGCAAACUCUGUUCAACACCAUGGCUAGUGCCAUCUCUACUCAGCUAUUCCGUCAUCCCUUAUUUCUGCCAAGAAGAGUACACUUCAGUCUUACCUAAGUUAAAAAGCACCUUACUUUAGGUUUUCCUUCCUCCCAUCUGACAAGACCAAAACAUUAAUUUGAAAACAAGAUAAGCUGUAGAACAUGGGUGAAGAGUAGAGGGAGUUGUCAUCUCAAUAAAUCUUUUAAUCAUGUUAUUCCUGCAACAUGAAGUAAGCAGCUCAAGCAAGAAAAUGACUUGGAUCUACAAAACAUUGUUCUAAGAAAAGUUCUCAUGUGGGUCUGUUGAUGUCAGAAAAAUUGCUGUAGACAUUAUAACCUAUUAUAUCCAAAUCUUUAGGAUGAUAAAAGCAAAAUGUCCAAAUUAGAUGCUAGAAGUUAGAUGAUAAAAGUCAAAAUCUGGUCAGCUUCAGUGAAUAAUAUCCAAAGCUAAUUAAUGACCAGUAGUAAAUACUGCACAUGUAGCGAAAUACAGAAUUUUUCAUUUUAUAUCAUAAGUAUUUCAAAAUAGUUACAGGAGGAUGCCAUGUAUGUAUAGUGAAGAGUUAUCUCCAUUCAAAAAAACUCUGAUAUGAUCCAAGGUAAAAGUUGAUAAAGAAUAGAUUCUCUGAGUUUUUAGUAAUUUAUCAAAAAUGCUAUCUCCAACCAACACUUCUACAAUUACAAAAUACUUAUAUUAAGGUCUCAAAACUUUUUUCUUGUGAUCACCAGAAUGUUAAUGAAUUAACAGGGUUUCAUUUGCUACUGUUGAAAUAUAUGUACAGUACUACUAUACAUUUAAAUGGUAUAACAAGGUACUACUGUAAACAUUCAUCCUAACUUGUUAAUCUCUAUAACAUGCUUUAAUGAAACAUUUGUAUUCUUAUAGUUAAAACCACAAACCUAGUGGUAAACAACCUUCUCAUUGAACCAACAUAUCCAAGUAUAAAUUUAUUACUGAUUUCGAGAGAGCCAAGCUCACCUCAGAUGGUUAAUAAGGCUGACAUAUAGGCUAUUAAGUACAUAUGUGCAUUUCUCAUUAUAAAUGAUAAUUUUUAUACACGAAUUUAACUUCUGUAACAAGAUAACACAUAGUCAGUCAUUCCUAUACAGCAUAUCGAUUUUCUCAUGAUUAAUGUGUCAUUAGUAUUAAGUGGUUGAAUAUUGCCACUAUGCUAUUUUACUUCAAUCAUAACUGUGAUCCAUGGUCACCAGGAAAUGGUUAGUUGUUUAUGCCAUUAUUAUUCACAACUGAAGAGGAGAGAUCAAGUGGCUGCAUUUUUAUUAGCCUUAUGUAUUCAUAUUGUAUUAUACUUUUCUGUGAUCUAUUUCGCAAGGACAGAAUUAUAACUACUAUUCCCAUUCAUUCUUAUUUUCUUCUCAUUUUUGAGAUGAUAAUGGCAUCUGAUGUUAGUUAUGGAAGCAGUCUCAUUGUUUUGUUUUGCUGUAUGUAUAUAUAUUUAUAUGUGAAUAACAUUUAGUAAUUUAUUGUACAGUAUUUUCAUAUUUUCAGUGUACUGUUACUGGAUUCCAGCAAGUUGAGUUUUAUUCCUCCCCCCUCCCUACUGAAUAAAACUCUUAUCAUAUUCUUACAAUAAUUCACAGCUGAAUCAUCUUAAGAAUAUUAACUGCAUUAAGUAGAAAAUUUUACCUUAUUAUUGUAGUACUAUGAUAAUUGUUAUAUUUAAUAAAGCUCUUUCCAACCA